GGGACCGUACACACAGGUGCUGCAUGGCUGUCGUCAGCUCGUGUCGUGAGAUGUUGGGUUAAGUCCCGCAACGAGCGCAACCCUCGACUUUAGUUACCAUCAUUAAGUUGGGUACUUUAAAGUAACCCGCCGGUGAUAAGCCGGAGGAAGGUGGGGAGUGACGUCAAGUCCUCAUGGCCCUUACGCGCUGGGCUACACACGUGCUACAAUGGCAAGUACAGUGGGCAGCAAUCCCGCGAGGGUGAGCUAAUCUCCAAAACUUGUCUCAGUUCGGAUUGUUCUCUGCAACUCGAGAGCAUGAAGGCGGAAUCGCUAGUAAUCGCGGAUCAGCAUGCCGCGGUGAAUACGUUCCCAGGCCUU
rnacentral:rRNA from 1 species